GGGUUGGUAGCCGAACGGUUAAAGCGAUAGUGUCUUAAACCUAGCCAAGGUGGGUUCAAUCCCCACCAAAUUCA